CCCGCCCGCUUUCCCUGGAACGGUGGCCGCAGGUGGGAAGCAGGCAGGGUCACAGCUGCCGCUGGCGGUCCUGACAUUUUCGACUCCGCAUCUGGGUCUCUCUUACAGCCCCAUUUUCACUGUGAAGGUUUAGGAUGUUGGUCUUACCGUCCUGCCUCUUCCCAGGGGCUACAGAGAAGAAGGUUUGGGGGUCAAAGAGAGACGAAGUGGGUGGCAUGUUUCUAGGGGACAAGAGCUGAUGUCCCCUAGAUUUUUGUGCGCAGAAUCACUUUCCGGUUCUUGACCAGAACGCAUUUUGAAAUGUCUCCGACCACCCUGAAAGGCCUCUCGUUUCAGAGCCAGCUAUGGAUAAGGGCUGAGUGAGGGCUGCGGUGUGGUCCCUGGCUACACGUUGGGAAGUUGUGUAAUUUGAACCUCAGUUUUCUCAUCUGCAAAACAGGCGUGAUCGUGUCUACUUGCUUGGCUCAUUGGGAGGAUUAAAAGGAAGCCCUGCAAGUAAAUUGCCUCCUUUUGCUCCCAAUGGACAGGAAAUUCUCAGGAAAUACGCUCAUUUGAAUUUUAAAUUUCUGGCACUGGUGUCAUUGUUCCUUGUCUGGAUUAAGGUUUAGCUUUUGAUAACCUUUUUCUUGGUACUGAUAUGUUAGAGGGAGAAAUUCCUCAAUAGGUAGCUGAAAUGAUCCCUAAAAUUGUUUGUAUGAAGAGCUAGAUUUUUUCGUUACUGAGAUAUAAUCUGUGUACCAUGAAAUACACAGAUAAUACGUUGACAUUUGUCAACACCUGGAAACACCACCUCGGUCAAAAUACAGAGCAUUUCCACCACCCUGGUCCCCGAGUGCCCCUUUCCAGUCAAUCCCUCCUGAACCAGAGGGCACUGCUUUUCUGAUGUCUAGCUCAUAGAUUGGUUUUGCUUCAGGAAAUCUAUUUUUGAUGUGCGACUUUACAAAAGGAGGCUUAACACUUUCAGAAUGGCCUGUCUGGGCACUGUCACUGCCUCUGAGUCCCUUUCCGAGCUCAGACAAUCCCAGCCCUCCCUGUUAAAGCCUCUUUCUAAAUAUCCGUGGAUCUUAAGGACCUCUGAAGUUGGAUGGUUGGAAUUUAUUUCUGGAUGACAUUUGCAUCUCUGAGCAAAAGCAUUUUCUAGCCUAAGGGAUGGCAGGUCCUUUGGGUUUAAUGGGAACUGUGUGUUGGGGGGGGCGGGGCAGGGGGAGUAGAUGGGAUAACUUAGGAGGCGGUAUUUAUUUGCAGCAGGGAGGUCACGGCUCCUGUCUUUGUAUGAGUGCACACUUGCCAUUAACAUCAGGGGGAUUUCGCUAGGCCCACGCAGCAGCAAGGGAUAGGAACGGGAACAUUUGCAAAAACAAACAGCAAACACCUGGGUUCUGGCCCGGAACAACGACCCGGCAGCGUGGGAGGGGCGCCCAUUCUGCAGACUGGGUCUGUGCCCUGCCACCACAGGCUUCCUCUUACCUCCGGCUCUGGAGCUCUCAUUCUGGAAUGUCCCAGUCUUGCUCUGGCUGCAUCUGGAUUGGAAACAGGAGCAAUCCUUUGAUUGGAAAGACAAACGAGCCCUUGGAGAAGUCCCACAAAGCAGCGCAUCUCUGGCUAGAUUAACCUAAGAGAUUUAAAGUCCUUUGAAUGGAAGUUCAUCUGUUUCACAGGAUAAACAAUAUAAAAAUGAAAUCCCCAAAGAAUCACGGCUGCUAACCUUCAGGGCGAUGGUGCUUUCUGUAUUAAAAAAAAAAAAAAAAAAAAAAAA